GGGGGGGGCAUUGUGCGGGCCGUACCAUUUGGAGGGGUGAGUAUGCAAGGAACAGACAUUACAGGCCUAAGAGAAAUAAAGUGUCUUAGAGACUCAUUCCAGGGGGAUUCACAACAGUUUGACAAAUCAGAUGCUUUCUAAGAGAACUGGAUUCAGGAAAGAAACAUAUGUCUCCUCCUACAUCACCCCCAAGUUGUGUGGGAGUGAGUUGGGUCCCCGUGGCUGCUACUGAUUGCUCGAAAUAGAGUUACGCGGACCAGUAAGAAAAAGAAAGGAAAAUCGCUGGCCUAUCGAAAGAGAAAAGCAGGUACUAAGUAGGUGGAUGGAAGGGUUCAGCCAGAGGUGGAGUCUCCUAGGCGUGGUAGUUUUAGGAUAUGUCCAUACAUUCAUGAUACCUCUCUUUUCAAGAGGUGGACCCUAAUUCCCCUCCCCUUGAGUAUAAGCUGGACUCAGUGAUUUGCUCCUAACGAAUAGAAUAAAAGUGAUGGUGUGAGACUUUGGAGGCCUGGUCACGAAAGGCACUUUGGCUUCCUGCUUGCUCUGUCUUGGGUCAAUCGCUCUGGAGGAAGCCAGCCGCCAUGGCAUGAAGACACUCAAGCAGCCCUAUGGACAGGUCCACAUGCUGAGGAACUGAGGCCAACAGCCAACAACCGUGGCAGUGACACCCUGGGAAGGGGAUCCUUCAGCCCCAGCCAGGCCUUCAGACGACUCCAGAUCUGGCCAACUUCACUACAAAUCGCAUGAGAGACACAUCCAUCAAUGAUUCACGCCUGCAACAAUUACUACUGUGGUAUUUGCUUAAGGGCUUCCCUGGUUGCUUAGUGGUUAAGAAUCCGCCUGCCAAUGCAGGGGACACCAGUUCGAGCCCUGGUCUGGGAAGAUCCCACAUGCCACGGAGCAACUAAGCCCGGGCGCCACAACUACUGAGCCUGCGCUCUAGAGCCCCUGAGCCACAACUACUGAGCCCACGUGCCACAACUACUGAAGGCCAUGUGCCUAGAGCCCAUGCUCCGCAACAAGAGAAGCCACCGCAAUGAGAAGCCUCUGCAUCGCAAUGAAAAGUAGCCCCUGCUCGCCACAACUAGAGAAAGCCCAUGUGCAGCAAUGAAGACCCAACACAGCCAGCAAUAAAUGAAUAAAUAACUUUAUUUUAAAAAAUGUAUCUCAUAGAAUUUGAUAUGUAGUAUUUUCAUUAUCAUUAUUUUUUGGAAUUUUAUAUUCCAGUUUUUCACCUAAUUAAUUUGUUUUUGUCUUUGUUAAUGAUUUCUCAUUUUAUUACAUUCUGCUCAGAGACUAUUGUUUAUAAUAUUUCCAUUUUAUUCAACUUACUGAUGAUUUCUUUGUGACCUAAUAUAUGAUUAAUUUUUUGUGAUAUUUUGUUUCUUUGGAUUUAUGGUCGUUUUUUUUCAGGGGGAAAUUUCCUCAGUUAAUGUGUACUGGAUUUUAUUUUCUGACUAUUUUUUGGUUUUUAAUAAUAGUUCCAGAUGGAUCUGUUACUCCUUUUCUUGUUCAUUUUUUGUGAUAUUGGGGUGUUUUACAAGAUUCCUAGCUCUAUAGCACACUCUUAUGUCAAUAUAGCAAAGUCCAGACACUUCAGUGCAUUUUUUUUUUUUUUUUUGCGGUACGCGGGCCUCUCACUGUUGUGGCCUCUCCCGUUGCGGAGCACAGGCUCCGGACGCGCAGGCUCAGCGGCCAUGGCUCACGUGCCUAGCCGCUCCGCGGCAUGUGGGAUCUUCACGGACCGGGGCACGAACCCGUGUCCCCUGCAUCGUCAGGCGGACUCUCAACCACUGAACCACCAGGGAAGCCCUACUUCAGUGCAUUUUAAUUUGUUUGUCUGGUUGGGGAAAGGGGUUUGUGUCCUCCAGUUUCUUUGUUUCUCUUUUGUCUUGCAAGACCCUAAAUUUUUCACUUUUGCUUUUUCCCCCUUCAUCACUCAAUUGCCCAAAGACUCUUCGACCAUUUGGUGUUUUUCUUUUUCCUUUCCCAGAACCUAUGUAUUUUAAAGACUGACGCUUCAAAUCCCACAUAUCUUUUAGUCCCUUCCCUGUAGUCUGCACGCUGAUCCCCCAGGACAUUUUCCUGUUUGUUAUUUACAGACUGCAGAUGACAUCGUCUUCCUGAUGGAGGUUCUAGAUCGACCUUGGGCCCUAUUGCCAACUCCCCUCUUCUGUCUCUUCCCCGUUUAUCUUGGUACAGAGCCUGGUGGUAGGGCUGUGUGGGGCUGGAGCGCAAGAGGUCCGCACAGCCCUGUGGGGGGCUUUCUUUUUAUUUACAGUUAUGUUGAAGUUCGGACAUGCUCUGCUUUCAAGUUAUGCUGAGGCUAUGGCAGAGUUUUAUUUCCCAUUCUUGUUUCGAUUUGCUUGGGAAGGAAGCACUGAGAGAUGGGGACAUAGGCAGCCGCCCCGGAAGUCCCGCUGCUUUUCCUUUGAAACUCAAAAAAAAGUUACAGAGGAACAUUUUUUUUUUCUUUUUUAAAUUUGACUGCGUUAGUUCCCCUACCAGAGGUUGAACCUGAGCCCUCAGCAGUGAAAGUGCGGAGUCCUACCAACUGGACCGCCAGGUAAUUCCCCUUCCUUUGUAACUUUAAAAAAUAUAUAUAUAUUUAUUUAGGCUGUGCUGGGUCUUAGUUGUGGCACGUGGACUUCUCAGUUGCAACAUGCAUGCUGGGAUCUAGUUCCCUGACCAGGGAUCGAAUCCGGGCCACCUGCAUUGGGAGCCCGGAGUCUUACCCAUCGGACCAGUAGGGAAGUCCCUUCUUUGUAAGUUUUUUUUAAAAUGAAUUGAUUAAUUUAUUUAUUUUUCUUUUUGGCUCUGUUGCAUCUUUGCUGCUGCAUGCGGGCCCUCUCCAGUUGUGGUGAGCAGGGGAUACUCUUUGUUGCCCUGCCCAGGCUUUUCAUUGCGGUGGCUUCUCUUGCUGCGGAGCACAGGCUCUAGGCCCACGGGCUCAGUAGUUGUGGCUCACAGGCUCUAGAGCACAGGCUCAGUAGUUGUGGCGCACGGGCUUAGCUGCUCCGCGGCAUGUGGGAUCUUCCCAGACCAGGGCUGGAACCCGUGUCCCCUGCAUUGGCAGGUGGAUUCUUAACCACUGCGCAACCAGGGAAGUCUCCCUCCUUUGUAACUUUUAAAGAUGGAGUUUAGCUCAUUUGUUUGGACCCUUUCUUAUUUUCCAAUAUAUACAGUUGAGGUCAUAAAUUUCUCUCUAAGAAUUUUUAGCUGGGUCCUCCAAAAUGGAUAUACGAUAUUUUCAUUACGACUGUAAUCUAAAACAACACAAAUUUAUAAUCUAUUUUCUAAUUUCUGUUGUGGUUUUUUUUCUCUUGGCCCAGACAUCUCAUAAAAUGUUUCUUAAUUUCAAAAUAGGUAGGAUUUUUUUUUAAUCUGUCUGUUGACGAUGUUUAACUUAAUUAUAUUGUGGUAAAAAACAAACGAACAAACAACAGACUGAAUGAUUUUAACUUUUUGAAAUUAGUUCAGUUGCCUGAUGAUCUAGAAUUUGAUCGAUUUAUUGGGAAAUGUUCUGCAUACACUUCUGCAUUUAGGUGCAAUGGUCCACUAGGUCAGAUUUGUUAACCAUAUUCUUCAUAUCUUUUAUACCCUUGCUAAUUUUUUCUUUUUUUUUGCCUGCAUGUGCCAUAGAAUCUACAAAUACGAUUGUGAUUUAAUCUGCUUUUCCUUGUGGCUUUAUUCUCUAUAUAUAAAUCUUUAUUGCUUGUUAAUCUUACUUUUAAGAAUAAAUUAAGAAUAAAUAAAUUUAAAAUUGCUGUGUAUUUUAAAAAUCACUAAGUAAGCAUGCUCUUUCUCCCUAGUAAUGCUUUUAACCUGAAAUUUAUUUUUUUCUGAUACUAAUACUGUAUAGCUAUUCCAGCUUUUAGUAAGCAUUUGCCUGAUAUUUUUUCCAUCCUUCUGUUUCCAAACGUUUUAUAUCCUUAUAUUUAUAUGUAUCUUUUAUAAAUACAGGCAUACCUCAGAGAUAGUGUGUGUUUGGUUCCAGACUACUGCAGUAAAGUGAAUAUCACAAUAAAAUAAGUCACAGAUUUUUUGGUUUUUCAGUGCAUAUAGAAGUUAUGUUACACUCUACUAUUGUCUAUUAAGUGUACAAUAGCAUUAUGUCUAAAAAAAGGUACAUACCCUUAAUUUAAAAAUACUUUAUUGCUAAAAAAUGGUAACCAUCAUCUGAGCCUUCAGGGAGUCAUAGUCCUUUUGAAAUAGCAACACCAAUCGCUGAUCACAGGGACUCUCCUGGUGGCGCAGUGGUUAAGAAUCUACCUACCAAUGCAGGGGACACGGGUUUGAGCCCUGGUCCAGGAAGAUCCCACAUGCCGCGGAGCAGCUAAGCCCGUGCGCCACAACUACUGAGCCUGUGUGCCACAACUACUGAAGCCCGUGCGCCUAGAUCCUGUGCUCCGCAACAAGAGAGGCCACCGCAGUCAGAAGUCUGUGCACCACAACGAGGAGUAGCCCCUGCUUGCUGCAACUGGAGAAAACCCACACGCAGCAAGGAAGACCCAACGGAGCCAAAGAGUCACUGAUCACAGAUCACCAUAACAAAUAUAAUAAUAAUGAAACAGUUUGAAGUUUUGCAAGAAUUACCAAAAUGUGACACAAAGACACGAAGUGAGUGAAUGCUGUUGAAAAAAUUACACUGAUAGACUAGCUCGACACAUGGUUGUGAUAAAAGAAACGUUCACAUAUUGAGGUGUGGGGAAGUCAUUCUGGCUUAUACAUGAGUUAACUUGAAUUUUAUGCUAACAAAAACAGCCUGUUUGUGGCCUAUCAAACAUACAUUGUACAUCUGCUUUAAUUAUUAAAUAAAAAGACACAUUGACCAGAAGUAAAGAAUGUCCAUGUUUAAAAUAAUGAUUAAAUGCCUCUCUUCCUGGGAUGUCGAUGCUGAUCCUCCUUUGAUGAUAAGACCGGUUCCCAGAUGCUAAGGCCAUACUGACUUGCUGUAUACUUGCUGGUCUGUUUUUUUUUUUUUUUUUGAAACCGUGAAGAAAUGUAUUCCUGAUUUGUUGAAUGUUCUUUGUUCUGGCAAGAUAUAAAACCAUGCUGAAAAUCAUGCUUCUCUGGAGCAGUUGCUCAGAGUAAUCUGGAAAGCUGGCUUCCGGGCUCUAGCCCUCAGUUUGGCUCAAAUAAAACUCUUUUCUAGGGUAUUCCCUGGUGGUCCAAUGGUUGGGACUCCACGCUUCCACUGCCAGGGGCAACUAAGAUCCCACAACUAAGAUCCUGCAAGCCGUGCGAUGCAGCCAAGAAAAAAACAAACAACAACAAAACAAAACAACUCUUCUAUUCCUAUUAUAGAUUGUUUAUUCAUUAUUUUUGUUGACAGUUGUCACAAACCUUCGAUUUGUAAAAAAUGCAAUAUCUGUGAAGUGCAAUAAAGCAAAACGCAGUAAAUGGACAUAUGCCUCUAACUCGUAGUGCAAUUAUUUUACAAAUAGUAUAUUAGUUAGCUCAGUAGAAAUUAUGUUGUGAUAAAUGUAGUAGGCAGAAUAAUGAUCUCCCAAAUAUGUGCACAUCCCAGUUCCUGGAACCCAUGAACAUAUUAUCUUGCACGGCAAAAGGGACUUCACAGAUAUGAUUAAGGACCUUGAGAUGGCGAGAUUAUCCUGGAUUAUCCAGGUGGGUUCAAUGUAAUCAUAAGGGUCCUUAAAAGUGGGAAAGGAGUCAGGGUCAGAAGAUGCUAUUCUGCUGUCUUUGAAAAUGGAGGAAG